GAUGAACGCUAGCGGCAGGCUUAAUACAUGCAAGUCGAACGGUAACAUGAGUAGCAAUACUUGAUGACGAGUGGCGCACGGGUGCGUAACGCGUAUGCAAUCUACCUUCAACUGGUGAAUAGCCCGAAGAAAUUCGGAUUAAUACACCAUAGUAUAUUAGAGUGGCAUCACUUUAAUAUUAAACUACCGGUGGUUGAAGAUGAGCAUGCGUGACAUUAGCUAGUUGGCGAGGUAAUGGCUCACCAAGGCUACGAUGUCUAGGGGAUCUGAGAGGA
rnacentral:rRNA from 1 species